UACGUAGGGUGCAAGCGUUUAAUCGGAAUUACUGGGCGUAAAGCGUGCGCAGGCGGUUAUGUAAGACAGAUGUGAAAUCCCCGGGCUCAACCUGGGAACUGGCAUUUGUGACUGCAUAGCUAGAGUACGGUAGAGGGGGAUGGAAUUCCGCGUGUAGCAGUGAAAUGCGUAGAUAUGCGGAGGAACACCGAUGGCGAAGGCAAUCCCCUGGACCUGUACUGACGCUCAUGCACGAAAAGCGUGGGGGAGCAAACAGG
rnacentral:rRNA from 1 species